AUUGAACGCUGGCGGAAUGCUUUACACAUGCAAGUCGAACGGCAGCACGGGUGCUUGCACCUGGUGGCGAGUGGCGAACGGGUGAGUAACAUAUCGGAACGUGCCCAGUAAUGGGGGAUAACUAACCGAAAGGUUGGCUAAUACCGCAUACGCCCUGAGGGGGAAAGCGGGGGAUCGAAAGACCUCGCGUUAUUGGAGCGGCCGAUAUCUGAUUAGCUAGUUGGUGGGGUAAAGGCCCACCAAGGCGACGAUCAGUAGCUGGUCUGAGAGGAUGAUCAGCCAAGCUGGGACUGAGACACGGCCCAGACUCCUACGGGAGGCAGCAGUGGGGAAUUGUGGACAAUGGGGGAAACCCUGAUCCAGCCAUUCCGCGUGAGUGAAGAAGGCCUUCGGGUUGUAAAGCUCUUUCGGCAGGAAAGAAAUGGCUCUGGUUAAUACCUGGGGUCGAUGACGGUACCGGAAGAAUAAGGACCGGCUAACUACGUGCCAGCAGCCGCCGUAA
rnacentral:rRNA from 1 species